AUUUGGGUUUAUUUUGAGCUUACAACUAAAACCAAUUGGUGAUAAGUAAAUUGACCCUAACCCUUUAUAUAUUACUUAGAAUGCCCUUAACUAUGUGAUACUUAUCCAUUAUAUAAUGAUGUUCAUGGAUGAGAACUUACACAUUUAUAAGCGAAGCUCCCUCAGUUACCUUGUAACAUGCUGAGGUUGAUUAAAUGCGAGCCGCAGCCGUUACAAAGGAAAUGUUCGGAUGUGUCCUCAUCUGUAAGGAGACGGUGGUUCUGCUCUGUAGCUCAAACACCAAAAAAUUUGAAACCCUACAUUAGUUUUGAUAACGAUUGGACUUGGGAUUUGGUAGCAAUGUGGCUUUCCAUCGCAGACAAGAAACCCA
rnacentral:lncRNA from 1 species